CUACUACUCCCUCCGUCCAAAAAUACUUGUCAUUAAAAUGGAUGUAUCUAGAUGUAUUUUAGUUCUAGACACAUCCAUUUUGAUGACAAGUAAUUCUGAACGGAGGGAGUAUUAU
rnacentral:pre_miRNA from 1 species